ACAGGAAAAGUGCCAGAGUAUUUUUUCCAGAGUUAAUAUUUUUUUCCUCCAAAAGAGUUGUUUUUGCUCCGUUUUGAGUAAACAAAGUAAAAUGUGUCAGUAGAGUGGGAGCAAAAUUACAGAGUAACUGUAACAGAGUAAAAUUUUUCCCUCCUAAUUUCCGUUUAUCUGCCAUUGCUGUAUAUAAUGUUAAAACAGAGUAACAAUAAAGAUUAAUGACACGCCUGCAUAUACUUCUUUUGUAAAAAAAUAAACAAACAACUUCUCAAAAAAUAGCAUUUAAUAACUAAUCUAAAUUAAACUAAUUACAAAAAUGAACACUUAAAAGUACGUAAACAUAAUAAAUAACUAAAAGAACAGAAACCAUCUUUGGGGAUAAUAUCUGUAUAUAAGUGUACUUAGAUUUUUAAGUUUGGUUCACGUAGCAUUCGAUUACAUAGAGUUUGCGGGCUUUAUGACCUACACGGCACCCCGCCACCAGAGGGCGAUAGAAAUAUUGGCUUCACUCACCGUGACUCCCUUGGUAACGGCCAUAUCGAUCACUGCUGGUUAAGAAGACAAGCUGCUUUCUGCUGGAUGGUGAAGUAAGUGAAUUUUCUAAAUCUUAGUAUUAAUUUCCAGAAUAUUAGCCUCUGUUUUGAUCUUAGUCAUUUUGCCACGUUUUUUAAUAUUACAGAGUUAACUUUCUCACGUGAGAACUAACUUAGUCUAUAAUUUAAAACUUACAGGUUAUAUAAGUUAAUUACACGUAUAGACGUUAUCUGGAAAGCACAUAACUAACAUACUGAUUACGAAUGUUAACUGACACGGGUGAGACUUGCUUACUGCCUAUGAAAUGUUUGUAACUUAAUAUUUUGGCGGGCGUUUUGAGUUUUACCUCAUGUAUUUGACUCAGUAAAGAGUUAAGUGAGCGUUAGUCAGUUUGGUUUGCAUUAUCCCUUUCAGACGAUAACGUGAGCUGUUGUAACUUAAAGUAUGAUGUUUAAAUUUGUGUUUCUGGUUGCUUCAGGAUGUAAACCAACAGCUUUGUCAAAGUAAAGUGAAGUUAAACUGACGAGCGUCUGGAGUUGGGCACCACAUGUACGUGACUCGGAUGCAAACCAACAAUGUUGUCAGAGUAAAGUUCAAAGACAGCAAGAAAUAUAUUUUCUCUUUACAACCAUUUCACACAUUUUUUGAAUGUGUUGCCAAGAAGUUUAAUCUUCCUACAAUGAAUGUCUUUGAUGACAUAAAGACAGAGGUUGAUGAGGAAUAAUAUCUGCUGACAUGACCAGACUUUGGUGUCCUAGAAAUCUUCAUCCCAGAAAGCACAACAAGCCUUGAUGGGCACGUCAGAGUCUGAUGGGACCGCAGUGCUGAUUAGAAAUCCUCCUGAAAAAAAUCAAGCCGAGGAAUGUCAUCUAGUCCAGAUGAUUGAAAAUAUCCUAAAGGGCAGCCCUGGAGGCGAGAAGGUCAUAAAGGAAUACGCUCAAACAAAGUCUUUCGGAUGGCCAAAGACGUGACAUGGUGAAAAUCUUGGUAGCACAUUUAACAACGGAACAUGGAUCUUGCCCUUACCGAAGUUUGAAGGAAGAAUGUGCAAAGGGUAUUAUCUCCAUAUUCCCAUGCUUUGCUGACCCCAGGAGCAAGCUUAGUUAUGAGCAUUAUUACAAUGCAGAAGAUAGAAGUGGAUAUUUGGUGUGGAGAAUUAAAACUUUCCAAAAAGAAGCAUCAGAGGGACGGAUAAAAUGGCCACAGCAACCACAAACAGGUGCAUGAUUUGCAGAUUGAUCAAGAUUUUGGACUUCUAUUUGGUGAGGCGACCGCUGCAAAGUUGUUGGAGAAGUGGUCUACCAACAUAAAACCUAAGGUCAUUGCACAGACCCGUGACCUCACACAGACUUGUAAGCAUCCAAAAUGCUGAAGCCACUGAAGUUGAAGAUGGUAAUUAUUGUGCUUUACAAGUUAUAAAUUCAUGAAGAAUGGCUUUAGAUCUAUAGUUUCAAUUGUAUUCACAAUGUUACCCAUCAGACAUGCAUUAUUCGUAUGCAGCACAGAUUUAAGUAAAUAAUCAGAAUAAAAAUUACCGCUUUCUCUUAACAUUUCUACCUUGACCUUAGUGAUGUUGAAAUGAGGUCAUACAGUUAAACAUUAUUUACUACAUUUAAUCCAUGCUUUUGUUAUUUAGAGUCCCAAAUGAAAACAGUUUUAAACUGUAAAUCUUCAACUCACGUACUAGGCCCUUGUGAAAACCCAUCUGAAAGUGCUCUAUUUUUACACACUAAUUUUGUACUUUAUAUACAAAAAAAAUAUUCUUCUUUAGUACUUCUUAAAGAAAAUCUUAAGAACAUCUAAGUAUACUUGUUUGUACUAUUUUGAGACACCAUGAAUAUGAACUUAAUUGUGCUUAAAAUAUAUAUUUAAAAAAUGUAUUUAGGUACUGCUUGUAGUAAACUUAAACCCAUCUUUCAUACAAAAAAGUGGUAAAUAAAUACAUUUUUUAAAUAUAUUUUAAGCACAUUUUAGUUUAUAUUCAUGGUGUCUAAAAAAUAGCACAAUCAUUUUUAAGUUUAUUAAGUACAAAAUUAGUGUGCGAAAAGAGAGCACUUUCAGUACAUUAUUGAAGUGUACUUCUUUUACAGUUUGGUUUUCACAAGGGCCUAGUACAUGAGUUGCAGAUUUACACUUUUAAAUUGUUUUAAUUUGGGACUCUGAUAACAUAUGGUUUAUAUAUUGUAAAUAAAGUUUAAAGGGGACAUAUCAUGAAAAUCUGACUUUUUCCUUGUUUAAGUGCUAUAAUUGGGUCCCCAGUGCUUCUAUCAACAGAGAAAAUGUGAAAAAGAUCAACCCAGUAACUUAGUUUUGAUAAACCAUUCUUUGCAAGCAUGUGAAAAAAUAGCUCAUUUAAAUUUGGCUCCCCUUGUGAUGUAAGAAGGGGAUCUUAUAAUAGAUCUUAUAAUAAUACCGCCUCUUAAUCUGCACUAUUCAACCACUGCCAUUUAGUGCAGCUCAUUUGCAUUUAAAAGGACACACCCAACAACUGCACAUUUUUUUCUCACACCUACAAAGUGUCAAUUUUAACAUGUUACAAUAAAUUGUCUAUAUGGUAUUUUGAGCUAGAACUUCACAUACAUGCUCUGG